CUCACCAUAAGCAGGGGGAGCAUGGUGGAGCUCUUCGAUCUGUUGGUUCAUCUCCUGGAGUCUUCGAUCCAGGAGGUCCUCUCGACUGUGAGUCUCGAGGGUCUUCUGGCAGAGUGUGGGUAGGAAUCCUCCAGGAGUGGAAUCGUGACCAGACUGGGGGCUCUCCACCCUCGAAUUCUCCUUUUCGGGGAAGACAAGGCGACUGGCCCAAGUGGCCCACCCUACUGCCAGAUUUUAGAACUCCAGCGAUGC
rnacentral:lncRNA from 1 species